rnacentral:rRNA from 1 species
CGGAAGUCUGACCGAGCAACGCCGCGUGAAUGAUGAAGUAUUUCGGUAUGUAAAGUUCUUUUAUUUGGGAAGAAAAAACAAAUUGACUGUACCAAAUGAAUAAGCCCCGGCUAACUACGUGCCAGCAGCCGCGGUAAUACGUAGGGGGCAAGCGUUAUCCGGAAUUAUUGGGUGUAAAGGGUGCGUAGGCGGGUUAUCAAGUCUUUGGUUAAAAUGCGGUGCUCAACGCCGUAGUGCCAAAGAAACUGAUAGUCUAGAGUAUGGUAGAAGUGAGUGGAACUCCAUGUGUAGCGGUAAAAUGCGUAAAUAUAUGGAAGAACACCAGUGGCGAAGGCGGCUCACUAGGCCAAUACUGACGCUGAGACACGAAAGCGUGGGGAGCAAACAGGAUUAGAUACCCUGGUAGUCCACGCCCUAAACGAUGAGUACUAAGUGUAGCCAGAAGGCUGUGCUGAAGUUAACGCAUUAAGUACUCCGCCUGAGUAGUACGUACGCAAGUAUGAAACUUAAAGGAAUUGACGGGAUCCCGCACAAGCGGUGGAGCAUGUUGUUUAAUUCGACGAUACGCGAAGAACCUUACCAGGUCUUGACAUACUCGGCAAAUCUAUAGAGAUAUAGAAGAGGUUAACCGGGAUACAGGUGGUGCAUGGUUGUCGUCAGCUCGUGUCGUGAGAUGUUAGGUUAAGUCCUGCAACGAGCGCAACCCUUAUUGCUAGUUACCAUCAUUAAGUUGGGGACUCUAGCGAGACUGCCGGUGAUAAACCGGAGGAAGGCGGGGAUGACGUCAAAUCAUCAUGCCCUUUAUGACCUGGGCUAC